rnacentral:rRNA from 1 species
UUAAUAUUAGUUAUGAAAUAUAUUUCAAGAAAUUUUAUAUCUAGUUUUUUAAGAGUAAAAGUUUAAUAGAAUAAUUUUUAUAAAAAUUAAUAUGGUUUAGCUUAUUAAUUUUAUAUACUGAUAGAAUUUUUUAACCUUAGUAAAUUUGAUAGUGUUUAUUUUAUAAAUUUAUAAUGAAGGGUAAUAUGAAUAAAAAUUUUUAUUUGUUAUUUUUUUAUUAAAAAAUUUAUUAAAAUUUUAGAGUUUUAUUUAUAAUGAAAAAAUUAGUAAAAAUUUAUUUAUAUUAAAAAAUAAUUAAUAAUUUAUAAUUGUUAUAAUUAUUAUAAAAAAUGAAUUCGGCAAAAAGUAUUAUUUGACUGUUUAGCAAAAACAUUGUUUCAUGAAAAGUGUAUGAAAUAAUGUCUGUCCACUGAUAUAUUUGAAGGACUGCAGUAUAUUGACUGUAUAAAAGUAGCAUAAUCAUUAGCUUUUUAAUUUGGGGUUGGUAUGAAGGCGAAACGGAUAAGUUCUUUAUUUUUUAUAAGUGUUUUAAGUUUAUUUUUAAGUGAAAAAUCUUAAUUAUAUGAGAGGGACAAGAAGACCCUAAUAAGUUUUAUUUUUCUUUUAUUUAUGUUAUAGGAAAAUUUAAUUAGAUAAUAUUAAUAUUAGAAAUUUGGUUGGGGCGAUUAGUUAAAAAACAUAAUUUAUUUAUAAUUUUU